CAGCUAUCUACUGGUUGAACUUACAGGUGGCAGCGAUUUGUCGAACAUAUCAACAGUCCUAGAUUCAUGCUUGAAUUUUCGGCCGUCAUUCUAAUAUUCAUCCUAGUCAACAAGAUAAUGGCCUGAGAAAUGUGUGCUGUCGGGACAAACGUUGUCAACUCCGUCAGUCAAAUGUACAGAUACAUAGUUGACAGAUGCUCUAUCAUCUCCCUCAAUCGAAGGUAUCCUAUCCUUCCCCACUAGCCAUUUGCAUAAAGAUGUCAAAAAACAGUUAACUUGGCUAUGGUCGUUAUAUAAACAAGUUGUGGUGCCAACAAAAUAAUUGACAAGGCCGCAUUUGUAUCAUGUUUGUUGCCAUGGAAUCAUAUGAUAGUCAAUGUUUUUCUUUCUUGAUUAUCUGUAUUUUGUUUCUGGUA
rnacentral:lncRNA from 1 species